rnacentral:rRNA from 1 species
AGUGAACGCUGGCGGUAGGCCUAACACAUGCAAGUCGAACGGCAGCACAGUAAGAGCUUGCUCUUACGGGUGGCGAGUGGCGGACGGGUGAGGAAUACAUCGGAAUCUACUUUUUCGUGGGGGAUAACGUAGGGAAACUUACGCUAAUACCGCAUACGACCUACGGGUGAAAGCAGGGGAUCUUCGGACCUUGCGCGAUUGAAUGAGCCGAUGUCGGAUUAGCUAGUUGGCGGGGUAAAGGCCCACCAAGGCGACGAUCCGUAGCUGGUCUGAGAGGAUGAUCGGCCACACUGGAACUGAGACACGGUCCAGACUCCUACGGGAGGCAGCAGUGGGGAAUAUUGGGCAAUGGGCGCAAGCCUGAUCCAGCCAUGCCGCGUGGGUGAAGAAGGCCUUCGGGUUGUAAAGCCCUUUUGUUAGGGAAGAAAAGCAGCAGAUGAAUACCCCGCUGUUCUGACGGUACCCAAAGAAUAAGCCCCGGCUAACUUCGUG